CACAUGAACACGAAAGAGGUUAUCUUGAACAUGAUGUUAUCUAUUAAAGGAGCUUAUAUGAUGACAUAGAAUUGGCUACGUGUCAAUCUCUCAGGUAUGCUAUCUAUGACAAGGUUUAAAGCUAUUGAAUGGCUUGAAAGUAUUUUUGAAUAAUGGAUGUGUUUUUUCACUUUACAAGCACACAUUUACCAUAGACUUAGUUUGGUCAGAUAAUUUGGAAUGGGUCCAACUGGUAAUCAAUUAUGGAUUUGAAGCAACAUAUCAAAGGGAAGUUGUUGAAGUUGGAGGUUGAUCAUCGAAAUACAUCAAGUUAUCAAGAUAUGAUUGUACAGGUUUCAAACCAUAUUGUCAAUUAGAGUAUUUGAUUCAUUUAAGAUUGAUGUGAAACAAUUAUAUAAAGUUUAGUUGUUUUUAU
rnacentral:lncRNA from 1 species